rnacentral:ncRNA from 1 species
UCGUGAGUCGUGGUUGGCCUAGUGCUCAGCCCGACAGGCUUCGAUUGGUUCAGGAAGAACGAGUCGGAGUUUCACCAGAAAAAGGAA